rnacentral:tRNA from 1 species
ACUAUUUUGGCAGAAAAAAUGUAAUGAUUUUAGAAGUCAUAAAUAUAUAAUUAUAGGAUAUAUAGAUAGUA